rnacentral:rRNA from 1 species
AUUGAACGCUGGCGGCAUGCUUUACACAUGCAAGUCGAACGGCAGCGCGGGCUUCGGCCUGGCGGCGAGUGGCGCACGUGUGAGUAAUGCAUCGGAACGUGCCCAGGAGUGGGGGAUAGCCCGGCGAAAGCCGGAUUAAUACCGCAUACGACCUGGAGGUGAAAGCGGGGGCCCGAAAGGCCUCGCGCUUUUGGCGCGGCCGAUGUCGGAUUAGCUAGUUGGUGGGGUAAAGGCUUACCAAGGCGACGAUCAGUAGCUGGUCUGAGAGGACGACCAGCCACACUGGGACUGAGACACGGCCCAGACUCCUACGGGAGGCAGCAGUGGGGAAUUUUGGACAAUGGGGGCAACCCUGAUCCAGCCAUGCCGCGUGCGGGAAGAAGGCCUUCGGGUUGUAAACCGCUUUUGUUAGGGAAGAAAUCCUUUGGGCUAAUACCCUGGGGGGAUGACGGUACCGGAAGAAUAAGCACCGGCUAACUACGUG